rnacentral:rRNA from 1 species
UACGAAGGGGCUAGCGUUGCUCGGAAUCACUGGGCGUAAAGGGUGCGUAGGCGGGUCUUUAAGUCAGGGGUGAAAUCCUGGAGCUCAACUCCAGAACUGCCUUUGAUACUGAGGAUCUUGAGUUCGGGAGAGGUGAGUGGAACUGCGAGUGUAGAGGUGAAAUUCGUAGAUAUUCGCAAGAACACCAGCGGCGAAGGCGGUGACUGGCCGUCGUGACGCUG